rnacentral:rRNA from 1 species
UGGGGAAUAUUGCACAAUGGGCGCAAGCCUGAUGCAGCCAUGCCGCGUGUAUGAAGAAGGCCUUCGGGUUGUAAAGUACUUUCAGCGAGGAGGAAGGCGUUGUGGUUAAUAACCGCAGCGAUUGACGUUACUCGCAGAAGAAGCACCGGCUAACUCCGUGCCAGCAGCCGCGGUAAUACGGAGGGGGCAAGCGUUAAUCGGAAUUACUGGGUGUAAAGCGCACGCAGGCGGUUUGUCAAGUCGGAUGUGAAAUCCCCGGGCUCAACCUGGGAACUGCAUCCGAAACUGGCAGGCUAGAGUCUUGUAGAGGGGGGUAGAAUUCCAGGUGUAGCGGUGAAAUGCGUAGAGAUCUGGAGGAAUACCGGUGGCGAAGGCGGCCCCCUGGACAAAGACUGACGCUCAGGUGCGAAAGCGUGGGGAGCAAACA